rnacentral:rRNA from 1 species
AUUGAACGCUGGCGGCAGGCUUAACACAUGCAAGUCGAAAGAGUGGAGGACGGGUGAGUAAUGCUUGGGAAUAUGGCUUAUGGAGGGGGAUAACGAAGAGAAACUGUCGCUAAUACCGCGUACCAUAUGCUGAGCCCAAGUGGGAUUAGGUAGUUGGUGGGGUAAUGGCCUACCAAGCCGACGAUCUCUAGCUGGGCUGAGAGGAUUAACGUCAACACCGGGACUGAGACACGGCCCGGACUCCUACGGGAGGCAGCAGUGGGGAAUAUUGCGCAAUGGGGGCAACCUGACGCAGCCAUGCCGCGUGAAUGAAGAAGGCCUUCGGGUUGUAAAGUUCUUUCGGUGACGAGGCGUUAAUCACAGAAGAAGCACCGGUUAACUCCGUGCCAGCAGCCGCGGUAAUAC